UUAUAGUCUGUCAGGGAGUGAUGGAGCCAUGCAGAAUCCGUCGUAAGAAGUGGAGCAGAGUCGUGGCCAUUAUUGUGGUCUGCCAGGGGGUCCAGACCUAUCGGCCGAAAUUCGGUUGGAGUCCGAUCUCCGUAGAAGCCCGGAUGGGGAUCAUUUGUCGAGGAAUCUCGAUCGAGACCUGUCAGCAAUAGAAAUCCGAAAGAAAUUCAUCCACAAUGAAUCCGGCAU
rnacentral:lncRNA from 1 species